CACGGUCCCCACCUCACGACACCGGGCGCCGCUUCCCCGGGCGACUCACGAGCGAGCGAAGCUGCACGCCCUCCACCUUUGCAUCCUGCGUCGACGCCCCUCCACCUCUGCAUCCCGCGCUGCCGCCCCUCCACCUCCGCGUACAGGAGCGGCCGCCCCUCUUUCUCCUUGUCCCCUACGUCCUCUUCGGUUGCUCCGCCUCCGCACUGCUCCCCCCUGGCGGCAACACUAUCGCAUCCUCUCGGAGAUCCCGAUUUGCCGGCGCGCCCCCAGUUCGGCAGUCUCUACCUCGUCAUCCUCCUCAGUGCUUAUCUCGGCCAUCACUCCAUUCUCCAAGAACCACUCGUUGUUCAUCUGUUCGUCGGUUGUUCUUGGCCUAGCUGACCUUUGGCUUUCGAAAGUUCAUGAAGAAGAGCAAAUUGGAAGGGCAGCCUUCGUCAAGGUGCCAUUGUCAAGGCUGCACCAUGUCUGCAAUAUGUAGGAUUUGGCGGAAGCAACACAUGUUCAGAGAAAAGUGAAGUGGCCUUCAUCAUUAGCAUCUGAGAAAUGUUCAUGAUCGUUGCUAGAUUUUGUUGCUCCUGUCUGACAAUUUUUAUAUACAUGCUUCUACAGUUUGUCCAUUUUUUAUGCUACUGGCAUCUAUGUAAUAUAUUGGUGUGUGAGCUGGAGGACUAUAAUUUAAAUAUUGGUGCAGAUUUUAGCUUUCAGUAGGCA